rnacentral:rRNA from 1 species
AAUCAACGCUGGCGGCGUGCCUCAGACAUGCAAGUCGAGCGCUGCUGUUCGCCUUCGGGUGGACAGCGGAGUGGCGCACGGGUGAGUAACACGUAGGUAAUCUACCUUUGGGUGGGGAAUAACAGCCGGAAACGGCUGCUAAUACCGCAUAAUGCAGCGGCAUCACAUGAUGACAGUUGUUAAAGCGAGGGAUCGUAAGACCUCGCGCCNGAAGAGGAGCCUGCGGCAGAUUAGGUAGUUGGUGAGGUAAUGGCUCACCAAGCCUGCGAUCUGUAACCGGCCUGAGAGGGCGGGUCGGGUCACACUGACACUGACAUACGGGUCAGACUCCUGCGGGAGGC